rnacentral:rRNA from 1 species
AGAGUUUGAUCCUGGCUCAGGAUGAACGCUGGCGGCGUGCCUAAUACAUGCAAGUCGAGCGAACAGAUGAGAAGCUUGCUUCUCUGAUGUUAGCGGCGGACGGGUGAGUAACACUGGGUAACCUACCUAUAAGACUGGGAUAACUCCGGGAAACCGGGGCUAAUACCGGAUAAUAUAUUGAACCGCAUGGUUCAAUGUUGAAAGACGGUUUCGGCUGUCACUUAUAGAUGGACCCGCGCCGUAUUAGCUAGUUGGUAAGGUAACGGCUUACCAAGGCAACGAUACGUAGCCGACCUGAGAGGGUGAUCGGCCACACUGGAACUGAGACACGGUCCAGACUCCUACGGGGGGCAGCAGUAGGGAAUCUUCCGCAAUGGGCGAAAGCCUGACGGAGCAACGCCGCGUGAGUGAUGAAGGUCUUAGGAUCGUAAAACUCUGUUGUUAGGGAAGAACAAAUUUGUUAGUAACUGAACAAGUCUUGACGGUACCUAACCAGAAAGCCACGGCUAACUACGUG